AGAGUUUGAUCCUGGCUCAGGACGAACGCUGGCGGCGUGCUUAACACAUGCAAGUCGAGGGCUCCAGCAAUGGGGACCGGCGAACGGGUGCGUAACACGUGAGCGACCGACCUUUUCGUGGGGGAUAGCCGGCCCAACGGCCGGGUAAUACCGCAUACGAUCUCUUUGGUGCAUGCCGAGGAGAUGAAACCCUUCGGGGGCGAAAUGACGGGCUCGCGGCCUAUCAGCUAGUUGGUGGGGUAACGGCCCACCAAGGCGACGACGGGUAGCUGGUCUGAGAGGAUGGCCAGCCACAUUGGGACUGAGAAACGGCCCAGACUCCUACGGGAGGCAGCAGUGGGGAAUAUUGCGCAAUGGCCGAAAGGCUGACGCAGCGACGCCGCGUGUGGGAUGACGCCCUUCGGGGUGUAAACCACUGUUGCCCGGGACGAACAAGCGGAUCAGUCCGCUCUGACGGUACCGGGUGAGGAAGCACCGGCUAACUCCGUGCCAGCAGCCGCGGUAAUACGGAGGGUGCGAGCGUUGUCCGGAAUCACUGGGCGUAAAGGGCGCGUAGGCGGCCUCUUAAGGGUGCGGUGAAAGUCCGGGGCUCAACCCCGGAUCGGCCGUGCCGACUGCGAGGCUGGAGCACUGUAGAGGCGAGUGGAAUUCCGGGUGUAGCGGUGGAAUGCGUAGAGAUCCGGAAGAACACCGGUGGCGAAGGCGGCUCGCUGGGCAGUGGCUGACGCUGAGGCGCGACAGCGUGGGGAGCAAACAGGAUUAGAUACCCUGGUAGUCCACGCCGUAAACGAUGGGCACUAGGUGCUUGGGGGAGCGACCCUCCGAGUGCCGGCGCUAACGCAUUAAGUGCCCCGCCUGGGGAGUACGGCCGCAGGCUGAAACUCAAAGGAUUGACGGGGCCCGCACAGCGGUGGGAGCAUGGUGGUUUAAUUCGACGCAACGCGAAGAACCUUACCUGGG
rnacentral:rRNA from 1 species